rnacentral:rRNA from 1 species
UACAGAGGGGGCAAGCGUUGUUCGGAAUUACUGGGCGUAAAGGGCGCGUAGGCGGCCUGUUAAGUCGGACGUGAAAUCCCCGGGCUCAACCCGGGAACUGCGUCCGAUACUGGCAGGCUUGAAUUCGGGAGAGGGAUGUGGAAUUCCAGGUGUAGCGGUGAAAUGCGUAGAUAUCUGGAGGAACACCGGUGGCGAAGGCGGCAUCCUGGACCGAUAUUGACGCUGAGGCGCGAAAGCCAGGGGAGCAAACGGG